GCUCAGGUGGUGGAAUCGGUAGACACGCACGCUUGAGGGGCGUGUGCCUAUGGCGUAUGGGUUCGAGUCCCGUUCUGAGCACCA
rnacentral:tRNA from 1 species